UGGGGAAUAUUGGACAAUGGGGGCAACCCUGAUCCAGCCAUGCCGCGUGUGUGAAGAAGGCCUUAGGGUUGUAAAACACUUUCAGCGGGGAAGAUGAUGACGGUACCCGCAGAAGAAGCCCCGGCUAACUCCGUGCCAGCAGCCGCGGUAAUACGGAGGGGGCUAGCGUUGUUCGGAAUUACUGGGCGUAAAGGGCGUGUAGGCGGCCUGCCAAGUCAGAUGUGAAAGCCCCGGGCUUAACCUGGGAACUGCAUUUGAGACUGGCCGGCUAGAGGUUGGAAGAGGAGAGUGGAAUUCCCAGUGUAGAGGUGAAAUUCGUAGAUAUUGGGAAGAACACCAGUGGCGAAGGCGGCUCUCUGGUCCACACCUGACGCUGAGGCGCGAAAGCGUGGGGAGCAAACAGGAUUAGAUACCCCCGUAGUCCCUGAGCGGGCUGGCAAGGCGCAU
rnacentral:rRNA from 1 species